rnacentral:rRNA from 1 species
AUUGAACGCUAGCGGCAGGCCUAACACAUGCAAGUCGAACGAGUGGCGGACGGGUGAGUAAUCUAUGGGAACGUGCCCAGUGGCGGGGGAUAACUACUGGAAACAGUAGCUAAUACCGCAUACUAUCGGAUGUGCCCAUAUGGGAUUAGCUAGUAGGUGGGGUAAAGGCUCACCAAGGCGACGAUCCCUAGCUGGUCUGAGAGGAUGACCAGCCACACUGGAACUGAGACACGGUCCAGACUCCUACGGGAGGCAGCAGUGGGGAAUAUUGGACAAUGGGCGCAAGCCUGAUGCAGCCAUGCCGCGUGUAUGAAGAAGGCCUUCGGGUUGUAAAGUACUUUCAGCGGGGAGGCGUUACCCGCAGAAGAAGCACCGGCUAACUCCGUGCCAGCAGCCGCGGUAAUUC